AUCCUUUUGUAGCUCAUGAAUGAUUGGGUGUUCACACUUAUGUGAGACAUGUGCCUCAAACCUUGUUAGACAUUGGCACAUUAUCUCUCUGAUG
ensembl:snoRNA